UAGCUAGUUGGUGAGGUAAAGGCUUACCAAGGCGACGAUCUGUAGCGGGUCUGAGAGGAUGAUCCGCCACACUGGAACUGAGACACGGUCCAGACUCCUACGGGAGGCAGCAGUGGGGAAUUUUGGACAAUGGGGGCAACCCUGAUCCAGCCAUGCCGCGUGAGUGAAGAAGGCCUUCGGGUUGUAAAGCUUUUUCGGCCGGGAAGAAAUCGCAUGGGCCAAUACCCUGUGUGGAUGACGGUACCGGAAUAAGAAGCACCGGCUAACUACGUGCCAGCAGCCGCGGUAAUACGUAGGGUGCGAGCGUUAAUCGGAAUUACUGGGCGUAAAGCGUGCGCAGGCGGUUUUGUAAGACAGGCGUGAAAUCCCCGGGCUUAACCUGGGAACUGCGUUUGUGACUGCAAGGCUAGAGUACGGCAGAGGGGGGUGGAAUUCCACGUGUAGCAGUGAAAUGCGUAGAGAUGUGGAGGAACACCAAUGGCGAAGGCAGCCCCCUGGGUCGAUACUGACGCUCAUGCACGAAAGCGUGGGUAGCAAACAGGAUUAGAUACCCUGGUAGUCCACGCCCUAAACUAUGUCAACUAGGUGUUGGGUGGGUAAAACCAUUUAGUACCGUAGCUAACGCGUGAAGUUGACCGCCUGGGGAGUACGGCCGCAAGGUUAAAACUCAAAGGAAUUGACGGGGACCCGCACAAGCGGUGGAUGAUGUGGAUUAAUUCGAUGCAACGCGAAAAACCUUACCUACCCUUGACAUGCCAGGAACUUGCCAGAGAUGGCUUGGUGCCCGAAAGGGAGCCUGGACACAGGUGCUGCAUGGCUGUCGUCAGCUCGUGUCGUGAGAUGUUGGGUUAAGUCCCGCAACGAGCGCAACCCUUGUCGUUAAUUGCCAUCAUUUAGUUGGGCACUUUAACGAGACUGCCGGUGACAAACCGGAGGAAGGUGGGGAUGACGUCAAGUCCUCAUGGCCCUUAUGGGUAGGGCUUCACACGUCAUACAAUGGUCGGUACAAAGGGUUGCCAAGCCGCGAGGCGGAGCCAAUCCCAGAAAGCCGAUCGUAGUCCGGAUUGCAGGCUGCAACUCGCCUGCAUGAAGUCGGAAUCGCUAGUAAUCGUGGAUCAGCAUGUCACGGUGAAUACGUUCCCGGGUCUUGUACACACCGCCCGUCACACCAUGGGAGCGGGUUCCGCCAGAAGUAGGUAGCCUAACCGCAAGGGGGGCGCUUACCACGGCGGGGUUCGUGACUGGGGUGAAGUCGUAACAAGGUAGCCGUAGGGGAACCUGCGGCUG
rnacentral:rRNA from 1 species